GACGGACGAACGCUGGCUGCUUGACUAAGCAUGUCAAACGAACAGACAUGUUUUUACGGAUCUACUCGAGAGGCGAACGGGUAAAUAACACGUGAUGUGAUCUGCCCUGCACUAUGAGAUAAGCCUAGUAAACUGGAUCUCAUACAGGAUCGGACCUCACUUUAGGGGGUGGGGAGGAAAUUUUUUGCAGGAUGAGAUCACCCCCCAUCCUAUCGUUUUGGGGGUGAGGUAAUGGCCAAGCCGCGCGGCGACGGCUGACCGGACUGGGAGGUUGCUCAUUCACAUUGGAGACUGAGAUACGACUCAUACUCCUACGGGAGGUAGGAAAGAUUAAUAUUGCACAGUGGGCGCGAUCCUGAUACACCGACUCCGGGAUGAGGAUCACCGCGUUCAAGACCCUAUCUCCUUUGGCCAAGGACUAUGUGUUUUGUGACGGUACAUAAAGAACAAGUAACUACUAACUACGUGCCAGCAGACGACGUAAUACGUAAGGUGCAAGCGUUAUCCUGAAUUACUGAGCGUUAAGAGCUCGUAGUGGUUUGUCCGUCGUCUGCGAAAUUCCACAGCUUAACUGUGGCGUGCAGGCGAUACGGGCUGACUUGAGUACUGUAGGGGUAACUGGAAUUCCUGGUGUAGCGGUGAAAUGCGCAGAUAUCAGGAGGAACACCGAUGGCGAAGGCAGGUUACUGGGCAGUUACUGACGCUGAGGAGCGAAAGCAUGGGUAGCAAACAGGAUUAGAUACCCUGGUAGUCCAUGCCGUAAACGGUGGGCGCUAGGUGUAGGGGCCUUUUGGGGUUUCUGUGCCGUAGCUAACGCAUUAAGCGCCCCGCCUGGGGAGUACGGCCGCAAGGCUAAAACUCAAAGGAAUUGACGGGGGCCCGCACAAGCGGCGGAGCAUGUGGAUUAAUUCGAUGCAACGCGAAGAACCUUACCUGGGCUUGACAUACACCAGAUCGCUGCAGAGAUGUAGUUUCCCUUGUGGCUGGUGUACAGGUGGUGCGUGGCUGUCGUCAGCUCGUGUCGUGAGAUGUUGGGUUAAGUCCCGCAACGAGCGCAACCCUUGUCUUAUGUUGCCAGCACGUUAUGGUGGGGACUCAUGAGAGACUGCCGGGGUUAACUCGGAGGAAGGUGGGGACGACGUCGAGUCAUCAUGCCCCUUAUGUCCAGGGCUUCACACAUGCUACAAUGGCCGGUACAAUGCGCAGCGAGCCUGUGAGGGUGAGCUAAUCGCUUAAAGCUGGUCUUAGUUCGGAUUGGGGUCUGCAACUCGACCCCAUGAAGUCGGAGUCGCUAGUAAUCGCAGAUCAGCAAUGCUGCGGUGAAUACGUUCCCGGGCCU
rnacentral:rRNA from 1 species